GAAUGCAGCCUACUUUUCCCCAAUUUGAAGGAUACAUCUGAUGUACACUCCGCGACCUACCAUAUCCCAGGAUGCAAUGCGCGCAGGGAAGAGGGAGUUUUUUUCAAAUGAAAUGGCUUCCGGUCUCCCCAGCAGAGUGGAUUUAAAAGCAGCCGCGAGCGGAGGAAUCACUAAUAAAUGACAAUUCUAGAGAAAUGGAUCUGCUGGAGAAGGACCCCUAAUCUGAAAAGUGCACAGCGGAUCAUCAGGACAGAGCUCCAUCCACCUGGCCCCCCCCGUGGUGCUGAAGAAGGACCCCUAACCCCAGCGGAUCAUCAGGACAGAGCUCCAUCCACCUGGCCCCCCCGUGGUGCUGAAGAAGGACCCCUAACCCCAGCGGAUCAUCAGGACAGAGCUCCAUCCAGCUGGACCCCCCGUGGUGCUGAAGAAAGCAAAAUGGCGAUCAGGAGCAUCCUCCACCCAGACCUCUGCUUUCUGCCGUCCUACACACUUGUGUCUUACUUUCAGAAUUAGAUUUUGUAUGUGUCCUUUCUUUUAAUAGAUAUCUAACGAUUAUAGCUUGAGUCUGUCUGAUUCCCCAAACAGCUGCUUCUAUAUACUUGUUGCACAUAUAAUACAAAUAAACAACUCCAUAAACA